UGGCCUUUAUCCAUAUUUAUCUUUGUUCUUUUUUUUUUUUUUGACAUUUUUCCUUCAUUCUUUACUUGAUCAAUUUAUUUAAUAAUUUAAAAAAUCUAUCAUAAUUAUUAUAUCUAACUAUAUUUCGUAGGCUAUAAAAAACUGUAGUUCUCUACUUAUAUGUCUCUUCAAUAAUUAAAAGAGAUGAUAUUCAAACGAUGAUAUGACAAUGGAAAGACGACGGGAGAGGCAACCCCCACCGACGAUGACGAAGAAUUUGGUGACGAGCUUUCUCCCAACUCAAUUCCAAGCUAUUGAAGAAGGAAGUGAACCUGAGAAUGGAGGUGACAACCUUGCAAAACUGAAGGGGAUUCAGAGAUGACGGCGAUACCUCGCCGCCUCCAUUUUUUUGAUGCGGGCACAUCUACUGAGCCUACACCACAGAGUCGCAGACCCACCUUUCCUGAGAAGCAUGUAGAGACUAAGCCAUAAACAAUCGAAGCUCGCAAAUAGGAACAUCACUGAGGUUUUUUCCACCAAUGCAGAACAAUGGGAAGAUAGUGAUGAUGAUAGAAGAAGAUGACAUUGAAAUGCAAGAGGCUCACUGGACUAUAACGUUGACUGGCUAUGGGAUAAGGGAUACACCUUAUGCGUGUUCAUCAAUGGAGUACUAUACUGGCCAGGUAUGAAAUUUUGUAUCCAAGCCUCAAACCCCCUAUCAUGAUGAUGGAUAUUACAUGUUUCCAUUCAAUUCAAUUGAGGAUAGAGAUAUGGUUAUUAAGCUGAACCAUACACCUUUCAAAAUAAGCCGUUUAUACUACAACAUUGGAAAAUUGACUUCGAAUUCAUCCCGAAUUGCCUUGGCAAAAUUCCUUUAUAGGUAAAGUUUCCUGGGAUACCAGUGGGGUACUAGUAUGUUGAGGCACUUAAUAAAAUUGCUAGUGUAUUGGGGAAACCUUUGUACACUGAUAAAGUUACUACUGGAAUGGAAAAAAUAUCGCAUGCAAAGGUGCUUAUUGAAACUGAUGUGUCCAAGGUUUUACCUGAGAGUAUAGAGUUGAUUGUAUCAUCAGGAACAUUCCAACAGCGGAUCACCUAUGAGUGGAAGCCUAAAUUUUGUCAUGAUUGUUUAAAACUUGGUCAUGAGGAUGCUAACUGUUGGAAAAAGGUCCAAGAGCAACCUGGAGAAGUCCAUGGGCCAUGGGCCAUGGCCAGGAGGAACCCCCAAGAAGAAGGAGAAAACAUAGACCCCCUUAUCCGGAAUGGCAAAUAGUACCAGAAGGGAAAAUGCAGAAACCACAAUAGGAGGAGGAAUUGAAGCUGGACCAGAUGACAUCUCAACCUGUGGAGCAUCAUCAGGGCAUUACAGUACAAAGUGAAGAAGUCUUUCAGGAGGGGCAUGAGGCUGAUGUACAGGUUUUGCACCUACAGAGGCAGAUUACUGAACCAAGCACCUCUGGGAUGAGCGAAGCUGGUAGGAGGAAGCCCUUUAAUCCUCCAUGAUUAUUAGCACUUGGAACAUUAGACGGCAUUAAUCAAUCCCUCAAACAGAAAGAGUUGUUCCUCUUUUUGAAGAAAAUAAGGUAGAUUUCUGUAGAUGUGUUGAGAAUGGAGUAAAAGAGAGAAACUCAAAGAAAAUGCUGCAAAAAUAUACUACAGACUGGCACUACUCUUGUAACAAUCCUCAAUCUGAAUGAGAAAGGGUGUGGUUACUUUAGAGAAAACAUUUAACUGUGCAAGUGCUAGAUGUACAUGAACAAUUCAUUCAUUUCUUGGUGGAGAAUCAGGCUACUCAGUUUCAGUGCUUUCAUCUGUGGCAUCAUCUGAAAAGGCUUGGAACUCAAAUUCAUAGACCUUGGAUGAUGAUUAGGGACUUCAAUAAUGUUCUUAGUACAUAGGAUAGAAUUGGUCAUCAGUCAUUCAAACAGAGGUGUAGGGUUUCAGGACUUACUUGCUGAUGUACAACUCACCCCAUUUAGAACCAAAGAAAGUUUCUUCACUUGGAGUAAGUCAUUGUGACAAUAAAAAAAGUGGUUAACAUCACUUUGGCAUCAUAAAUGAAAGGUCUUAUCUGAUAUGCCAUUUCAUCCUUUGUUGUAAUAUAACAUACAUUCUUUGACUUCAUGUUAAUGAAAUCUUCCCUAAGGUCAAAACACAUUAGCAUAUGCCUGUUACACAACAAACCAAUCUUGCAACCUUAUUUUAUUUUGCAUUGCUUUGGCACUCAACCGUAAGAAGGUUUUCCUAUGACAAUAUAUUAAAGUUCUUCAAUGAUAUUCAUUUUGUUGACUUCAUCCUCCGUCCAUGUAGCUCCUUGAAUGCUAUUAUUAUAAUCAAUUGGCUUAAUGUCAUAGGGUUCUUCUUUCUAUAAAGCACAUUAGCAUUAGAUUUAAGAAAAUCUACAUAUUUAAUGUUGUGAGAACAACCUUCUACAUCAACCCUACUGUUUUAAACAUUACCCACUAAAUCUAUGUUAGGCAAAUUGUUAGUGACGAUUGUCACACCAGGAUUUUUGGGAGAUAGAGGAUGGUAGAGUUUCAAAAAAUCCUUAGGAGAUGUAACAACAGUAAACGAUUUCCCCUGGCCAGCCUCCGGUGGUUGACCAGUGGCCGACAUGGCUAUUUUGGCAGUGAUCCUCAGGUUUUAGGCUUUUCUUUAUUAUAGAUAUUAGGUCAGUACGACUGGAAGAUGCGUUCGGUAGACAAGUGAUGUUAACCACUUUUUUUAUUGUCACAGUGACUUACUCCAAGUGAAGAAACUUUCUUUGGUUCUAAAUGGGGUGAGUUGUAGAUCAGCAAGUAAGUCGUGAAACCCUACACCUCUGUUAAGUCCUGAAACCCUACACCUCUGUUUGAAUGACUGAUGACCAAUUCUAUCCUUUAUAUUACAACAAAGGAUGAAAUGGCAUAUCAGAUAAGACCUUUCAUUUAUGAUGCCAAAUUCGAUCCAAAGGUGGAGAAAACACAAGUGAUGACAUGGAUCUCUUUCCUGGAUCUUUUACCUACUUUUUUGUGAAAGAAUUCCUCUUUUCACUAGCUGCUGUAGUAGGAAACCUAUCCAGCUGGAUAUGGCCACGAUCAACAAGAUCCGGCCUAGUUGUUCUGGGGUGAAAGUUCAAGUUGACUUAGCAGCUAAAUUACUUGAUCAUGUAGAAAUUAAAGUGAUUAACUGCACCACUAAGGAAGCUAGGAUCCAAACUGUCAGAAUUCAAUAUGAUAUGCUCCCUAAAUAUUGUUAUAAUUAUAAUUUACAAGUUCAUGAGGAGCUGGAAUGCAGGAGCUUACAUCCUGAGCUAAAAACUCAUGAACAAUAAUAUAAUUCAGAGAGAGAAGAAGACAAUCGAGGAAAUGAAGAUGACAUACCAGUGCAAAGGAGAUAUGUGAAUGAAAAAAUGGUGCAUGCAAAUGGAACCCAACUAACAGGAGUUUCAAGAUUGAAAAAGGAACCAAUAAGUUUUUAGAUAAUGUUGUGGAGUCAAAUAAAGAAGGAAAUAGGGAAGGAGGGCUUCAGGCUAAUAGUGUAGUCAGUACCAAAAAUUCUUUUGACAUCCUUCAGCUACAUGAGGAGGACAACAAUCACUAUCAGGAACAUGCAGGAAACAACCAAAGUAAUAAUUACACACAAGCUAAUAGCAAUACAACUAGGAAGGAGAUUGUUUAGGGUAGGAAAGACUGAAAUCUGACAGUAAUGAUAGAAGAAAGGAAAGCACAAAAUGUGACACAAUUUAUCAGAAUGAAGAUAUAUGCAAGUUGCAGAUAGCAACAAACUAACAAAAAAGGAACAAGCAGAAAUAAUUUUCAAGGAACCAGGAAAUAUAGAAUUGAAUAAGGAAAAGGAUCCAUCUGACAGCACCAAACAAUUUUAGAUCAACAACAACAAUUUAGCAGUCUCAAAGAUGUAAUGGCAAUAACUAAGGUAGAAAUAAGGAAGAGGAAGUACCUAUUGACAUGCAGUCUCAUGAAAUCCAAAUAGCUCUUGCUCAAUAAACUUAUCAUGAAGCACUCCAAGUUGAUGAAUCAAAAUGCAGGGGUAAUGCAGGAAAAACAUUAGUACUUGCUCAUGGAUCACAAUCUGGUUGAUGAUUACAAGGAUAGUAAUAUGACACUGACAACAAAGAGGAAUUCCCCUAACAAGGCAUUACAUGAUUUGUUUUUUUUUUUUCCAAAUAUUUGAAGAUAUAUGGACCAAAAGAGCAGAGACAACUAAAAUAAUACUGGAGGAUAAAGAAGGUGAUAGUCAGAAAAAUCUCAAUCAAGUAUUGAAAGAUGCCGGAUUAUCACCACAGACAAUUACAAAAGAUAAAAAGAAUAGGGUUAGGGUUGAUAAGCCUACAAGAAUCAGUGCUAGGAGAGUAUGUAAAGUAUAUAAUUAAUGAAGUUAAAAGCAAUCUUCUGGAACAUCAUAUCAGUCAAAUCACAAUAUGCAUUUCACAGAGUUCAAAUGCUUCAUAGGCAUCACAAUUUUAUGUUUAUUACAUUAAUUGAACCAUUUCAAGAGGACAUGCAUAUACAAUAAAUAUAAAAAAUUAUUAGGCAGGAAUUAUGCAAAUUACAAUGUAAAUGGUAAGAUUUGGAUUUUUAUUCUGGAUCACAUCUAGGUGAAUAUUCUAGCAGACUUUGAACAACAGCUCACAUCACAAUUGACUUUUCAAAAUGGCUCUCAGAUGGUGGCUAUAGUUGUCUAUGCUAAAUAUGAUGAGAUUGAGAGACUAGCAUUGUGGGAUGACAUUUACUCUAUGUAUCACAAUAUUAGGGUUCUAUGGAUGGUUGAAGGAUACUUUAAUGUUAUCAUGAACGAGGAGGAGAAGAUUGAGAACUUUCUGUGUACCCUAAUUAAUGUGAGGAUUUUGACUCUUGUACAAUUCCUGUGAUUUAGUUGAUAAUACGUUUAAAGAAAGUCCAUUCACUUGGUGGACGAUAGGGCUGAUGAACAAUGCCGUUUUAAGAGAUUAGACAGAAUAGUUGUCAAUCAAGAGCUCCUAGGAGGUAUAGGCUGUGCUGAGAUGGAGCAAUUAGCUAGAACAAGGUUAGAUGAUGCUUUUUUACUUUUAUUGUGUGGUGAUCAUAAUCAGCAAUUUCAUAAACCUUUUAGGUUUUUGAAAUUUUAGAAUAAAAAAGAUGGUUUCUAGGAUGUGGUAAAGUAGAAUUGUGUUCCAUCAGAUUCAUCAGUUUGUGAUGAUGUAUGUAUUAUGUUGAAGCAGAAAAUGAAAAAUAGCAAGUUGGCACUAACUGAAUGGAGCAGAGUUAUGAUUGGAGAUAUUUAUAAGCAGUUGAAAAUCAUGAAAGACAUUGUAAUAGUUAAGGAGGAACUGUUUGAAGAAAACCCUACUACUAUUAACAGAAUGAUCUUGCAAAGGUCAUAUGCUUAGUUGAGGCAAUAUUUAUGUUAUGAGGAAGAAUAUUGGAAACAAAAAGUUGCCAUACAAUGGUUAUCUAAAGGGGAUAGGAAUACCAAAUUUUUUUACAGUUUGAUUAAUGGUAGAAGAAAGAGAUUAGUGUAAGACCUCACAAAGUCCUAGUCAUUUCAGUUCUAUAUAGCAUACCAAAAGAGGUCCCAGACUUGGAAAACUUUAACCUAAGUGUUGAUACUUAGUUUCAUUUUUGGCCUCGAUAUUUCAAUGGCAUCAUUUACGAUCUUUUCGGCCUUAGAUUGUCAAUUUUUAAAUUGAUUCAUGAUAAGGGAUGUCAAUAGGUCAUAUUGGUGAGUUUCAAAAUUUUCAAACAUCGUUUGAGUUGUGUUUGGAUGGCCAAAACAGCAAGCCAACGCGAUCUUGAUGCGUCGCAUUGGCUAUCACGUCAACACCAUCGACACGAUGCGUCGGUGAUCGCGUUGAUCCUAUAGACACGACGCAUCGACAAUUGCAUCAGUGGGCAUAAUUUGUGUAUUAAGUUACGGGUUUGUGGCAGCAAAUGAGUCAUGUUCCACCUAUAUUUACCUACCUAUAUCACGAAAUUAAGGAUCUAAAGAGGAAAACAUACUUAUUUUUCCACAAAAUACUCUCAAGAACAAGCCCUAGUUUCUUCAAAUUCAAGUCCAAGUUUUAAGAAUUCACCAACAACUCCCACGAGAUUAACAAUCAAGGUUUGUUAGGUGUUCAUCCUUGGGUCUCUUUCCACCCUUAGAGUUUAAGAACCCUUUUUAAAACUACAAGUUUUCAGAUUCAUGAUUUACAUGUGCAAAUUGGGUUGUAUUCAUGUUUGUGUUGUUGUAUGGGUUUCAAUUCAAGAUUUAAUUAUAAUUUUCAUGAACAUAAGAUAGCAUGUAUGCUGAUUGAUGCAAUUCCCAUGUUAAAACUCUUGAAAUUGCAAGUUUAAGUUGUAGUCAUGAUGCUUAUGUGUUGUUUAUUAUCAUAUGCAUUAAUCAUGCUCCCUAAGUGUUUGAUAAAAUGUCCAUAUGAGUAAAUUAUGCAUGGUAACCUAUUGUUGUGUUCCUAAAGUUGUGACAUGAGUUUGUCAAUUGUUCUAUCAAGUUCUGGGGGUAUUUAUUACCCAAACUCUAGCUGUUUACUUAGUUGGAGUGGUUAUAGAAUAGUCUUAGUAAAGGUCAAGAAUAGUAGUACUCAGUCAGUUAACAGAACUCAGUGAACUCAGUCUAGUUCAGUCAGUCAACGCUAUUAGUGUUAGUUCAGUCAAGCCUAGUACAGUCUAGUGAUCAGUUCAGUGUCGAUUCAAUUGAAAGUAGGAUUCGGCACCGAGCUAACCCAGGGAUGGGGGUAUUCCUUCCAGUAAAGGGUUUGACCUUUAGUAAAAGUCCCUAAAUUACAAAACUACGUAGCCAACAUAGGGUAAGUCGUCCUCCUGCUAGAUUAGGGUUGACCCAACAUUGUUAGUAUCCUGUGGCAAGGUGCUAACACCUUUCCAACUAGGGUCACAAAUUGGACCCCAAAUCAGUCCAUAUCAGGGUAUGUGUAACGCCCCAAAAAUGGGUCACGAAGCGUCACACGGUGCUUAAGGCUACAAGUAGCCCCAAGCUAACCCUUUGAGCCAUCUAAUGCCAUCACAUGGGAUCAUUAUAAUUAAACCUUUAAAUAUCAUCAACAAUGCCUACUACAAUCUAGAUAAGUGCGGAAAGUAACAAAAUACCAAACAUCUGAUAACUCUGACUAAUCUGACAAAAUCUGGUUUGACAAGCCUCUACUAAACAGCGUAUCAAUGAGCCAUUGGGACAAGCCCCAACUGACCCGAACUCAAAGAUAAAAUGAACAACUCAACAUGAUACGAGAAUCUGAAAAAUAAUACGUCCUCGGAUCAUGAGGACUCACCACUGCAGAAGAUGUAGAUCAACGUGCUCAGAAAAUCACUAUCAAACCUGGGACUGAGCACCUGAACCUACAUUAUUGGAAAAAUGUAGCCCAUAUGCGAACAUGUGGUUCAGUACCAUGGAAUAUGUACCGAGUAUAUGGGGGUGUAUGCAAUUUCAGUAAAAUAAAUAUCAUAAAUUUAUAAAAGACAUGCAUGCUGAUAUGAAAGACUCACUUAGCUUGAGAUAAAUCAUCAAGAUCAUAAGUAAACGAUACAUGUAAACCAAACACGUGAGUCAUUUCAAUAAUUUCUCAAUUCACUUCUUCCUCGUUUCCAAACAUAUAUAGAAAUCAGUUUCAAAACAAUUCUCUUUAUAACACAACAUUUCAAUCAUUCGAAAAUGAUAACUUUCUCAAACCAUUCCUUUAAAUCAUGUAUUUCCAUUUUAGAGAAAAGAGUACACACACACACACACACGUUGGGAGUCUCUCAUAACCAACAUAAAUCAUGUGAGCUACAUGGAGUCCAACGUCCAACCCAUGUUGGAGAAAACUGUCGUAUCCUUGCCAUCGGAGUAGGACCUUAAUCUUUCAUUUACUAGUGAUCACUAUAUCAACCUCAGGACCUAUGGGGGCACGUAGUUCUAGGGAAGUACCAAACCGCUAUAUCUCCCACUCGGUGCUAAAGACUACUCCCGGACUUAGCUCAGAUCUUUAACAAAAGAAAAUCCACCACAAAAAGUUCAACAGUUCUCAACGGGAGCCAUUAUGCUACCCCUUUCAUAAUCAAUCAAAAAUGUGGAUUUCUUUUCUUAUUCGGGUUCAAAAAUCAAUUCUUUCAUGACCGAAAAGGUCAAAUCUUCUUCAUUAUUUGAAAUCAUUCAAAUCUCAAGUGUUUAUAACCCAUAACUUCACAAAAUGAUAACCUCAAAUAGAGUUCCAAAAACCCAUAUAUCAAUAUCACAAUAUGACCUUUCAAAGUUUCAUACUUUAUAUCAUAAGCAUAAAAAUAAUCACAAAAUAUAAAAAAUUCAGCUUUAUAGGCCACAAUAUCAACAUUUUCAAGAAAACAUCACAAGUUAUAAAUUCAUAUAUUCGAAUUAGUAGUAAAACAUAUCAAAUCACAUAUUAUUGUAAAGAAAAAUAGCUUUGGGCACAAGAACGAAAGAAUGUUCUUGUUGAAAAUUCCCACAUACCUCAAGAUUGGAGCCUUAGGAUGAAUUCUCUACUUCGACACACUAUUCACGGAAUUGUUAUGUGCUUCUUGUAGCCCUUGGAACAAGGAUUUCGAAUAUCUAAAAAUCUUUAAAAAGUCACGGUUGAAUUACGAGCUCUCUUGGUUUCUUUAUAGAAACCCUAAGUGUUGUUCUUGGUCAAUUUGGGUGAAAGUGAUAUUAUUUUGGGGUUUGAGGGAUUAAAUCCCGUGUUAGAGAGGAUAGAGGCUUCAAUAUUUACCAUUUUGCCAUUAAUGACACGGAUUUGGAAUGCUGAAAAUGGCUAGGCACGAUUAGCCAGGCAUCGCCUGUCUUAGAGCAGUGCAAUUCACCAUGCGCCGCCUGCUAGAUUGAUCGCAAUAAGCCAGGAGGCGCGGGCAUAAUCGCCUGCCUUGCAUGGAAUUUGGCCGCGCGAUAGAGCGGGCAAUGCGGGCAGAUCGCGCGCAGCUACUGGAAUGCACACCCAAAUAUGAUCUUAGGCUUGUCUAAAAAUUCUGAAACUCACCCGGAACAUACUACGACCUUGACCCAUCGCAACACAACAAAAAUAUCAAGAAACGAAGGUCACGAAUUAAUUCAACAAAGAUUCAAGGCUAGAAAAAUGACUAAGUGUUGGAACACUUAAUAAAAUGUCUAAGUGUUAAACUCAACUUGACUUAUUUCGAAGGUGUUAACGAUGUGGAAAAUUUUUCGGGUCUUACAUUAUCUCCCCCUUGGGAACAUUCGUCCUCGAAUGAUGCUUGAUAUGCCAAAAAUACAAGGGAAACGAAUGAUAUACAGCUGAGGUAACUUACUAAACUCAUCUCCACUUCGUUCUAAACUCCGGAUACAACAUAAAAUGCAUAAAACUCACGAAAUAACAGCCGAACAAUAAGAAAUAACAGUUGAACUGCUACAACUUUGAAUAUAAAAGGGAUGAUUUAGAGAAGAACGGUACCCUCAGCUUGAUCGGAGCUUGCAGAAAAUAGGUGCGGGUACUUGGAUCACAUAUCCGCCUCGGCUUCCCAAGUUGCACCCUCAACCGAUUGGUUUCACCACAACACUUUGACCAAGGGAACUUCUUUGUUCCUUAGUCUCCGGACUUGGAAGUCGAGGAUCUCAAUGGGGGUCUCAUCAAUGGAAAGACUAUUCUGAACUUCAGCAUUCACAGAAGGAUCUACUACCACGGAAUCGCCAAUAUGCUUUCUAAGCAUGGAAACAUGGAAGACAGGAUGAACAACAGACAACUCUGAAGGCAACUCAACCUCAUAAGCUACCUUACCAACACGGCUAAGGACUCUGUAAGGGCCAACAUAACAGGGACUAAGCUUCCCCUUCUUCCUAAAUCUCUUCACCUCUUUCAUGGGCGAAAUCUUCAAAUACACCAAGUCAUCAACUUCGAACUCAAGGUCUCUUCUCCUUACAUCCGCAUACGACUUCUGACGAUUCUGAGUUGUUUUUAAACUUUCUCUAAUCAACUUAACUUUUUCCAUAGCCUCAAAUACCGAAUCAGGACCACUCACAGUAGCUUCACCCACUUCGAACCAACCUAUGGGAGACCUAUAUUUUCUCCCAUACAAGGCCUCAAACGGGGCCAUGCCAACACUAGAGUGAUAACUAUUGUUGUAAGCAAACUCUAUCAACGGUAAAUGCUUAUCCCAACUCCCCUUGAAAUCAAGGGAGCACGCUUUCAACAUAUCCUCUAAAGUCUGGAUGGUCCUUUCAGCCUGACUAUCUGUUUGCGGGUGAAAAGCAGAACUCAAAUGUACUUGGGUACCAAGACCCUUCUAAAAUAACUUCCAAAACUGCGAAGUAAACUGAGUACCCCUGUCCAAAAUGAUAGACAAGGAAACACCAUGCAAUCUGACUAACUCUCGGAUAUACAAUCUAGCGUAGUCCUCAGCAGUAUAAGAAGUAUGUACAGGCAAGAAGUGUGCAGACUUAGUCAACCUAUCAACAACAACCCAAAUAGAAUCAUGAUGGCUUCGGGAAGGAGGUAAACCAGUCACAAAAUCCAUAUUUAUCUCUUCUCACUUCCAGGUGGGGAUACCAAACUCCUGCAUCUUACCACCAGGUCUUUGGUGUUCUACCUCAACCUGUUGGCACGUUGCACACUUAGCUACAAAUGCUGCUAUAUCUUUCUUCAUGCCACUUCACUAAUAGAUUUCCCGCAAAUCGUGGUACAUCUUGGUGGCACUAAGAUGAAUAGAAUAUCGUGCACCUUGCACUUCAACCAUAAUCCUCUGCCUCAGAUUAACAACAUUCAGAACACAUAAUCUACCAUGCAAUCUCAACACACCAUCUCCCCCUCGGGAGAAAAUCUACACUUUUUGGUCCUUGACUGACUCCUUCAGUCUGACCAAACAAACAUCUAAGUCUUGCUUCUCUUUUACUUUUGAAACCAAGGGGGAUUCGAAACUACUCUGAACUAACAUACUUCCUUCAGCAGAAUCAAGCAGUCUAACGCCCAACCUAGCCAAACAGUGCACAUAACGAGCUAAAUCCUUUUUAUCUUUAUCUACAUGAGAAACACUACCCAUGGAUACCCUGCUAAGGGGUCUACCACUACGUUGGCCUUGCCCGGAUGGUACAACACACUCAUAUCGUAGUCUUUCAACAACUCUAACCACCUUCUCUGCCUAAGGUUCAACUCUCUCUGGGUAAAUACAUAUUGCAGACUCUUAUGAUCAGUAAAUACAUCAACAUGAACACCAUACAAGUAGUGUCUCCAGAUUUUCAAAGCAAACACAAUAGCAGCUAACUCGAGAUCAUGGGUUGGGUAAUUCUUCUUAUGGGGUUUCAACUGUCUAGAAGCAUAAGCUAUAACUUUACCUCUUUGCAUCAAUACACAACCCAAACCAACUCUAGAAGUGUCAUAAUAUACCACAAAAACAUCAACGCCAUCAGGCCGAGUCAAAACUGGGGCUGAAGUGAGUUGAGUCUUCAACUCCUAAAAACCUUUCUCAUAAGAAUCGAACCACAAGAACAACUUUUUUUUGGGUCAACCUGGUCAUAAGAGACGCUAUAGAGGAGAAACCUUUAACAAAACGGUGGUAAUAGCCAGCUAGACCCAAGAAACUUCGGAUAUCAGACGGAGAGAUAGGUCUAGGCCAGUUUUUAACGACUUCUGUCUUUUGGGGAUCGACCUUUAUACCUUCAGAAGAAAUAAUAUGACCCAGAAAAGCAACUGACCCUAACCAAAACUCACACUUGCUGAAUUUGGCAAAUAAUUGAUGAUCUCUAAGGGUUUGCAAGAUAAUUUGGAGAUGAUUGGCAUGGUCAUUUUCACUACGGGAGUAUAACAAAAUAUCAUCUAUAAACACUAUGACAAACAUAUCAAGGUAUGGUCUGAACACUCGAUUCAUGAGGUCCAUGAAAGCUGCUGAGGUAUUAGUUAGCCCGAAGGACAUAACAAGAAACUCGAAAUGACCAUAGCGAGUUCGAAAGGCUAUUUUCAGGAUAUCACACUCUUUAACUCUGAGUUGAUGAUAGCCAGAGCGAAGGUCUAUCUUUGAGAAGUAACUUGCACCUUGCAAUUGAUCAAACAAAUCAUCUAUUCUAGGGAGGGGAUACUUAUUUUUGACAGUGACUUUGUUAAGCUGGCGAUAGUCAAUGCACAUACGCAAAGGGCCAUCUUUCGUCCGCACGAAUAGGACAGGUGCAUCCCAAGGAGAUACGCUGGGCCUUAUGAACCCUUUAUCUAACAGAUCUUUGAGUUGCUCUUUAACUCCUUAAGUUCUGCGGGUGCCAUACGGUAGGGAGGAAUGAAAAUGGGCUGGGUAUCGGGAAGAAGAUCGAUCUCGAAUUCUAUCUCUCUAUUAGAAGGUACCCCAGGAAGAUCUUCCAGAAAGACAUCAGGAAACUCAUUAACAAUGCUAACUGACUGGAUAGUUUGAGUCUCAAACUUAGUGUCUUUAACUCUGACUAGGUGAUAAGUACAUCCUUUGGAAAUAAGCUUUCUGGCUUUGAGAUAUGAUAUAAAAUGACUCUUAGGGGAUACUGAAUUUUCGGACCAUUCGAAAACAGACUCACCAGGAAACUGAAACUUGACUACACAGGUACGACAGUCUAUGGAUGCGUAACAAGAGUGAAGCCAGUCCAUACCCAAAAUAAAAUCAAAAUCUACCAUGUCCAACUCUAUCAGAUCAGUAAACAUAACUUUAUGAAGAAUAGAAACAGGACACUUUUUAUACACUUUUCGGGCAACAACAGACUCACCCACUGGGGUAGAGACUAGGAUAGGCUCAGGAAUAUUCUAGGGACUUACUUCAAAAUUUACAGCAACCCGAGAUGUCACAUAUGAAAAACUGGACCCAGGGUCCAACAAUGUAUAAACAUUAAACUAAAAUAUACGAAGCAUACCCGUAACGACAUCGAGAGAGUUCUCUUGCUCCUGGCGAGAAGGCAGAGCAUAGAACCUAUUCUGGCGCUGACCGCCAGCAGUGCUGGAAGAAGCACCCUGAGUUGGGGCUGAGCGAGUUACCGGAGCGUGAGCACUAGUAGUUUGAGUCUAAGGGCGAUUAUCACGUCGCCCUUGCCUGGCAUGUGGGCACUCCCUAAGUUUGUGACCCAAGUUACCACACCCGAAACAACCUUUCUUCUCGCCCCAACACUCACCCGGAUGGGCCCUACCACACUUAGGACACGGAAGAUAAUUAGGCUUACUGCCAACACUGUACUGGGACCUGGACAAAUAUGACCUAUUACCUUGCUCCUGCCUACCCCUAGGCGCGGGAGCACUAGCUGACGACGGUGCUGAUGUAGAUGAGCGAUUUUGAAACAGAGGGUGGUCCCCUCCUUGAGAUCUAGGUUGGCCAUGUCCGUGCUGCUCGGACAUAGCUCUCUUAUUCCCUCUCAUUUUGUCCCUCUCCUUGAUCUUGUCUGCUUCAAUCUAUUGGGCAUGUGUCAUCAGUCGAGAAAGGUUCAUCGCACGGUUAAGCAUAGCAGACCUGCACUCCUUAACAACAUAGCUCGACACCUCUGUCACAAAUUUACUCAUACUGGCCCGGUUAUCUACUAUCAAGUCAAGAGCGUGUUUGGCCAACUGAUUGAACUUCAAGCAGUACUCCUUAACAGUUAUAGAGCCCUGCCGUAAGUUCAUGUACUCCUCUACCUUUGCCUCUCUCAUCUCCAAAGGGAAGAACUUAUCCAGAAAUAUAUCCUGGAACUCCUGCCAAGUCAUAGGGGUGGCACCUUCUCCUCUACCUUUCCUCCAAGCAACGACCCAAUCAUAGGCAAUGUCUUUCAAUCGGUACGAUGCCAACUCCACACUAUCCUCCUCGAAGACAUGCAUCACCUGAGUGAUCUUUCUUACUUCCUCUAAAUACAACUGCGGAUCCUCACCUACCUUGGACCCAUAAAACUCUGGCGAAUUCAUCCGCAUAAAGUCGCAAAUCCUCACAUCAGCUGAAUUACCUCCCUAUUUCUGUGGAGAUGGGGGCGGAUUGGCCAGAAUAUUGGCGGUGACAACUUGGGCCAGCGCCUGGAAGGCUGCCCUGAACUCAGUGUGGGAUACAUUUUCAUUCAGUGGGUCAGCAGGCUGAGGUUGCUGACCAGUGUUAUUUCUUCUAGCUCCGCGAAGAGGCAUAUUCUGAAAGAAGAGAGCAUGAAUUAAUAGCUGAAAGGGAACAAUUGUAAGUACGAUAGACUUCUGAAGGAAAAAAAUAACCAUUUUCCUAAAACGUCUCAUAGCUUCUUGCUCAUAGAUGUGGCGCGCUACACACCGAUGAUUAAGACUCUACUUAACGCGACUUGUCAGACUCCCUAGGACUCCUUAAACCUUAGGCUCUAAUUCCAAGUUUGUAACGCCUAAAAAAUGGGUCCCAAAGCGUCACACGGUGCUUAAGGCUACAAGUAGCCCCAAGCUAACCCUUUGAGACAUCUAAUGCCAUCACAAGCUUAUUUUGGGAUCAUUAUAAUUAAACCUUUAAAUAUCAUCAACAAUGCCUACUACAAUCUAGAUAAGUGCGGAAAGUAACAAAAUACCAAACAUCUGAUAACUCUGACCAAUCUGACAAAAUCUGGCCUGACAAGCCUUUACUAAACAACAUAUCAAUGAGCCAUUGGGACAAGCCCCAACUGACCCAACUCAAAGAUAAAAUGAACAACUCAACAUGAAACGAAAAUCUGAAAAUAAUAAGUCCUCGGAUCAUGAGGACUCACCACUGCAGAAGAUGUAGAUCAACGUGCUCAAAAAAUCACUAUCAAACCUGGGACUGAGCACCUGAACCUACAUUAUAGGAAAAAUGUAGGCCAUAUGUGAACAUGUGGUUCAGUACCAUGGAAUAUGUACCGAGUAUAUGGGGGUGUAUGCAAUUUCAGUAAGAUAAAUAUCAUAAAUUUAUAAAAGACAUGCAUGCUGAUAUGAAAGACUCACUUAGCUUGAGAUAAAUCAUCAAGAUCAUAAGUAAACGAUACAUGUAAACCAAACACGUGAGUCAUUUCAAUAAUUUCUCAAUUCACUUCUUCCUCGUUUCCAAACAUAUAUAGAAAUUAGUUUCAAAACAAUUCUCUUUAUAACACAACAUUUCAAUCAUUCGGAAACGAUAACUUUCUCAAACCAUUUCUUCAAAUCAUGUAUUUCCAUUUUAGAGAAAAGAGUACACACACACACACACACGUUGGGAGUCUCUCAUAACCGACAUAAAUCAUGUGAGCUACAUGGAGUCCAACGUCCAACCCACGUUGGAGAAAGCUGUCGUAUCCUUGCCAUCGGAGUAGGACCUUAAUCUUUCAUUUACUAGUGAUCACUAUAUCAACCUCAGGACCUAUGGGGGCACGUAGUUCUAGGGAAGUACCAAACCGCUAUAUCUCCCACUCGGUGCUAAAGACUACUCCCGGACUUAGCUCAGAUCUUUAACAAAAGAAAAUUCACCACAAAAUAGUUCAACAGUUCGCAACGGGAGCCAUCAUGCUACCCCUUUCAUAAUCAAUCAAAAAUGUGGAUUUCUUUUCUUAUUCGGGUUCAAAAAUCAAUUCUUUCCUGAUCGAAAAGGUCAAAUCUUCUUUAUUAUUUCAAAUCAUUCAAAUCUCAAGGUGUUUAUAACCCAUAACUUCACAAAAUGGUAACCUCAAAUAGAGUUCCAAAAACCCAUAUAUCAAUAUCACAAUAUGACCUUUCAAAGUUUCAUACUUUAUAUCAUAAGCAUACAAAUAAUCUCAAAAUAUAAAAAAUUUAGCUUUAUAGGCCACAAUAUCAACAUUUUCAAGAAAACAUCACAAGUUAUAAAUUCAUAUAUUCGAAUUAGUAGUAAAACAUAUUAAAUCACAUAUCCUUGUAAAGAAAAACAGCUUUGGGCACAAAAACGAAAGAAUGUUCUUGUUGAAAAACCCCAUAUACCUAAAGAUUGGAGCCUUAGGAUGAACUCUCUACUUCGACAUGCUAUUCACGGAAUUGUUAAUUGCUUCUUGUAGCCCUCGAAACAAGGAUUUUGAAUAUCUAAAAAUCUUUAAAAAGUCACGGGUUAAUUACGAGCUCUCUUGGUUUCUUUAUAGAAACCCUAAGUGUUGUUCUUGGCCAAUUUGGGUGAAAGUAAUGUUAUUUUGGGGUUUGAGGGAUUAAAUCCCGUGUUAGAAAGGAUAUAGGAUUCAAUAUUUACCAUUUUGCCAUUAUUGACACAGAUUUGGAAUGCUGAAAAUGGCUAGGCGCAAUUAGCCAGGCGUCGCCUGUCUUAGAGCAGUGAAAUUCACCAGGCGCCGCUUGGUAGAUCGCCCGUGAUAAGCCAGGCGGCGCGGACAUAAUCACCUGCCUUGCAUGGAAUUUGGCCGCGCGAUAGAGCGAGCGACGCGGGCAGAUCGUGCGCAGCUACUUGAAUGCACACCCAAACAUGGUCUUAGGCUCGUCCAAAAAUUUUGAAACUCACCCAGAACAUACUAUGUCCUUUCCCGAUCGCAACGCAACAAAAAUAUCAAGAAACAAAGGUCGGGAAGGUCACAAAUUAAUUCAACAAAGAUUCAAGGCUAGCAAAAUGACUAAGUAUUGGAACACUUAAUAAAAUUUCAGUGUUAAACUCAACUGACUUAUUUCGAUGGCGUUAACAACGUUGACAAUUUUUGGGGUCUUACAGUAUGUCGGUUAGAUGAACACUCCCACAGUUACAGUUUCAGUCUCAGUAUUUAGUGAAGAACUCAGUCAGUUCUACAGAACUAUGGCUAUCAGUUACCAGUUACUCAACUAUAGGAAUUUAGUACUCAGUUUUAGUAUAAUCUCAGACACACGAUGUAUACCUACAUGCACAACAAUGCAUGUUAAGUAUGUUCAGUAUUUACAGCUUUGCAUGUACUCAUGUCCAGUUACUUCGUGAUGUUUAUUCAAUCAGUUAUCAUCUUAUGCAUAUGAACCCAUGUAUAUCAGCCUUACCUCAUGUAGCAUACCAAUACAUUCCACGUACUGAUGCAUACUCUCUCUUUUGCACUAUGAUGUCUCAUAUCACAGGUUCGAACACUCAGUUUCCUAACCGUACUUAGCAGCUUAGGCUAUCAGCAGCAGAUAUAGUGGUGAGUCCUCAUAUUUCAAGAACAGAGUUUAUUUAUUUUAGUAUUUUAG
rnacentral:lncRNA from 1 species